GUGAGUCAUCGAAUCUUUGAACGCACAUUGCGCCCGCCAGCAUUCUGGCGGGCAUGCCUGUUCGAGCGUCAUUUCAACCCUCAGGCCCUGCCUGGCGUUGGAGGACUGCGCACCGCAGCCUCCCAAAGCAAGCGGCGGCGGCGCCCCAAGACCGAACGCAGUAGUUUUCUCUCGUUCUGGGCCUGGGACGUCGUCCUGCCGGAAAACCCCCAACUUUUACAUGGUUGACCUCGAAUCAGGUAGGAAUACCCGCUGAACUUAAGCAUAUCAAUAAGCGGAGGA
rnacentral:misc_RNA from 1 species